rnacentral:rRNA from 1 species
UGAGUAAUGUAUCGGAACGUGCCCAGUCGUGGGGGAUAACUGCUCGAAAGAGCAGCUAAUACCGCAUACGACCUGAGGGUGAAAGCGGGGGAUCGCAAGACCUCGCGCGAUUGGAGCGGCCGAUAUCAGAUUAGGUAGUUGGUGAGGUAAAGGCUCACCAAGCCGACGAUCUGUAGCUGGUCUGAGAGGACGACCAGCCACACUGGGACUGAGACACGGCCCAGACUCCUACGGGAGGCAGCAGUGGGGAAUUUUGGACAAUGGGCGCAAGCCUGAUCCAGCCAUGCCGCGUGCGGGAAGAAGGCCUUCGGGUUGUAAACCGCUUUUGUCAGGGAAGAAAAGGUUCUGGCUAAUACCUGGGACUCAUGACGGUACCUGAAGAAUAAGCACCGGCUAACUACGUGCCAGCAGCCGCGGUAAUACGUAGGGUGCAAGCGUUAAUCGGAAUUACUGGGCGUAAAGCGUGCGCAGGCGGUUAUGCAAGACAGAGGUGAAAUCCCCGGGCUCAACCUGGGAACUGCCUUUGUGACUGCAUGGCUAGAGUACGGUAGAGGGGGAUGGAAUUCCGCGUGUAGCAGUGAAAUGCGUAGAUAUGCGGAGGAACACCGAUGGCGAAGGCAAUCCCCUGGACCUGUACUGACGCUCAUGCACGA